rnacentral:rRNA from 1 species
UACGGGGGGGGUAAGCGUUGUUCGGAAUUACUGGGCGUAAAGGGCUCGUAGGCGGCCAACUAAGUCAGACGUGAAAUCCCUCAGCUUAACUGGGGAACUGCGUCUGAUACUGGAUGGCUUGGAUUCGGGAGAGGAAUGCGGAAUUCCAGGUGUAGCGGUGAAAUGCGUAGAUAUCUGGAGGAACACCGGUGGCGAAGGCGGCUCACUGGCCCGUAACUGACGCUCAUGCACGACAGCGUGGGGAUCAAACAGG